rnacentral:rRNA from 1 species
UGUCACUGGUAAGGGCGUAUGGUGGAUGCCUUGGUAGACAGGACCGAUGAAGGACGUGACGGGCUGCGAUAUGCCUCGGGGAGCUGCCGAGUGGGCUUUGAUCCGAGGAUUUCCGAAUGGGGAGACCCGGCCACUGUUAUGGGUGGUCACCACAGUUUUNUUUUGUGGGGGGUACGCAGGGAAGUGAAACAUCUCAGUACCUGCAGGAAAGGAUACUCCGUGAGUAGUGGCGAGCGAAAGCGGAUCAGGCUAAACCGGGUGCGUGUGAUAGCCGUCAGGUGUUGCGCAUUCGGGGUCGUGGGAUUGGUUGUUCAGCCUCUGACGGGGUUGAGAAGAGUGAUAAAAUGUCGUGCUAGGUGAAUGGGAUUGAAUUCCCAGCCGUAGAGGGUGAUGGCCCCGUAGCUUGUCGUGCGAUGUCUCUUUAUGCUUAUUCCCAAGUAGCGCGGGCCUCGUGGAAUCCCGCGUGAAUCUGCCCAGACCGUUGGGUAAGCCUAAGUAUUCCUGUCUGACCGAUAGUGUACUAGUACCGUGAGGGAAAGGUGAAAAGCACCCCGGGAGGGGAGUGAAAUAGUUCCUGAAACCGUGCGCUUACAAUCCGUCGGAGCCUUCUUGUGGGGUGACGGCGUGCCUAUCGAAAAAUGAGUCUGCGAGUCAGUGGUAUGUGGCGAGGCUAACCCGGGUGGGGGAGCCGUAGCGAAAGCGAGUUUUAAAAGGCGUUUUAGUCGCAUGUCCUGGACCCGAAGCGGGAUGAUCUAGCCCUGAGCAGGUUGAAGCGCGGGUAAGACCGUGUGGAGGACCGAACCCACCUAGGUUGAAAACUGGGGGGAUGACUUGGGGUUAGGGGUGAAAGGCCAAUCAAAUUCCGUGAUAGCUGGUUCUCUCCGAAAUGCAUUUAGGUGCAGCGUCGUGUUAUUGCUUACAGGGGGUAGAGCUACUGGAUGCUUGCGGGCCCAUACCGGGUACCAAUAGCAGCCAAACUCCGAAUACCUGUUAGGUUUAUCACGGCAGUGAGUCGGCGGGGGAUAAGCUCCGUCGUCAAAAGGGAAACAGCCCUGAUCGUCGUCUAAGGUCCCGAAGCGCGUGCUAAGUGGGAAAGGAUGUGGAGUCGCAUAGACAGCCAGGAGGUUGGCUCAGAAGCAGCCAUCCUUGAAAGAGUGCGUAACAGCUCACUGGUCUAGUGGUUCCGCGCCGACAAUGUAGCGGGGCUUAAGCACGCCACCGAAGACGCGGCUGCAUGAUUUAUUUCAUGCGGGGUAGGAGAGCGUCCUGUAAGGGGUGAAGCGGCCGUGUGAACGUGUCGUGGACUUUACAGGAGUGAGAAUGCAGACAUGAGUAGCGAGAGACGGGUGUGAAUCCCGUCCGCUGGAUGACUAAGGGUUCCGGGGCCACGUUCGUCGUCCCCGGGUGAGUCGAGUCCUAAGGCGAGGCCGACAGGCGUAGUCGAAUGGAUGAACGGGUUGAUAUUCCCGUACCGGUGUUACACCGUUCGAACUGAAUCUGAGAGUACUAACCUUCAUUUGCAAGCUGGCUUCCUUUCGGGGUUGUUGGCUUGUUUGUGUUGGGAGCGUAUCGGUAGUAGGUUAGCGUGGGAGUGACGCGGGUAGGUAGCCGGCUGCGGAGGUGGUUUUCCGUGGCUAAGCGUGUGGGCUGUCCUCUAGGUAAAUCCGGGGGAUGUUAAAGCUGAGGCGUGAUGGGUAGGCUGUAAGGCUGAUUCCGGUGAUCCUGCUUGCCAAGAAAAGCUUCAACGUGAGGUGUGAUUCCGCUCGUACCCUAAACCGACACUGGUGGUCUGGUAGAGUAUACCGAAGCGAUCGGGCGAAUCCUGGCCAAGGAACUCGGCAAAUUACUCCCGUGCCUUCGGCAUAAGGGAGACCCCUGAUGGUGAUAUGGUUUUACACUGUUGAGCUGUUGGGGGUGGCACAAGCUAGGGGGUAGCGACUGUUUACCAAAAACACAGGAGCGUGCGAAGGCGUAAGCCGCUGUAUACGCUCUGACGCCUGCCCGGUGCCGGAAGGUUA